UUACACCGGUUCCCAUACACUCACCAAAGUUAAGCAAUGUCGAGCCUGGCCAGUACCUAGAUGGGUGACAACUUGGGAAUACUAGGUGGUGUAA